AGAGUUUGAUCCUGGCUCAGGACGAACGCUGGCGGCGUGCCUAACACAUGCAAGUCGUACGGGCUCGGGGGGCAACUCUCGAGUCAGUGGCGAACGGGUGCGUAACACGUGAGCAACUUGCCCUACGGUGGGGGAUAGCCGGUCUAACGGCCGGGUAAUACCGCAUAUGGCGCCGGGGUCGCAUGACCUUGGCGGGAAAG
rnacentral:rRNA from 1 species